GUGGGGAAUAUUGGACAAUGGGCGAAAGCCUGAUCCAGCAAUGCCGCGUGAGUGAAGAAGGCCUUCGGGUUGUAAACUGCUUUUGUACGGAACGAAAAGGCUCUGGUUAAUACCUGGGGCUCAUGACGGUACCGUAAGAAUAAGCCCCGGCUAACUUCGUGCCAGCAGCCGCGGUAAUACGAAGGGGGCUAGCGUUGUUCGGAAUCACUGGGCGUAAAGCGAACGUAGGCGGACCAUUAAGUCAGGGGUGAAAGCCUGGAGCUCAACUCCAGAACUGCCUUUGAUACUGAUGGUCUCGAGUAUGGAAGAGGUUGGUGGAACUGCGAGUGUAGAGGUGAAAUUCGUAGAUAUUCGCAAGAACACCGGUGGCGAAGGCGGCCAACUGGUCCAUUACUGACGCUGAGGUGCGAAAGCGUGGGGAGCAAACAGGAUUAGAAACCCCUGUAGUCC
rnacentral:rRNA from 1 species